UACGUUAGGGGCAAAAAUAGAAUAUUGGGGACUAGCUAUAGUUAUGGGAAAUAUUAAUCAUGCUCUGUUAACCAUGUUUGCCUUGUGUUGGUUAAAGAAAGGGCAUUCUGACCUGGAUAGGAGUUAACCAUAGAAUGUGAUCAUCAUUCAACAUUUAAGAACUGCAGA